rnacentral:lncRNA from 1 species
GCCUCUUAAAGGAGGAGAUAUUUCUUUCGUUAUGUGCAGUGGUGAAUGGGCUAGGUCGGGCAAUGAAAUGCAAAUGUGUGGCUCAGAUAUCUCAUUAAGCCUGAAUAACCAUCAGCAUUUAAAUUUCAUGCAUCCAUAUACUGUUAUAUAUAGUACAUAUUGAAUAAUUAUAACUACGUACCAUGUCAUGUUCUUUAUUGGUGCAUUUUAUCUUCUAUCAUGUUACAGACUUAUUCCUCUUCAUAAAUUAAAAAAAAAAGAAGCUACGAACUGUGUGCGGAACCGUUAAGCAGUUUGUGGUGGUCUUUGAUUGUGACAGAGAAGUUUUAUCUAUAUUAUAUACGAUCAUAAGUGUUAUCUAUACAUGAUGAUAAUGUAUAGCAUUAUAGUUUACUUGAAUAGCUUUUGCUAAACUGAGUAGAAUAGUGAUUCUUUUUUUUUUUCUUUUUUGUAAUCUCCACGAGUGGCAGAGUAAUCAUUUCCGCCAGUCACGGAAUGAAUGCAAGACAUGCUUGUCAAACAGUACUGCAAUCACAGGACAAAGACCGACCUCGGCCAGUUCUUCCCUUAGAUAUCGAUUUGGCUAUCAACCAACCAUGCCUUAUUCCAGAUUAAAAAAGAAAUGGUAGUUUGGCUGCAGGAUAAGGAGGAUAAUUCCAGCUUAUUCCGCACUAUCCCCAAACCAAUAUGGGGAUUAUUACAGGAGGAAGCUUGGGUUAGCAGUUGAACUCACCUGCGCAAACACUCGUACGGUAG